GCCUACGUAGUGUACUGGUAAGCACUCUCGGCGCGUAUUCGAGAUGUCCGUGGUUCGAGUCCCGGCGAGGGUA
rnacentral:tRNA from 1 species